rnacentral:rRNA from 1 species
AUUGAACGCUGGCGGCAUGCCUUACACAUGCAAGUCGAGCGGGGUUUUCGGACCUAGCGGCGGACGGGUGAGUAAUGCGUAGGAAGCUGCCCGAUAGAGGGGGAUACCAGUUGGAAACGACUGUUAAUACCGCAUAAUGUCUACGGACCAAAGUGUGGGACCUUCGGGCCACAUGCUAUCGGAUGCGCCUACGUGGGAUUAGCUAGUUGGUGAGGUAAUGGCUCACCAAGGCGACGAUCCCUAGCUGGUUUGAGAGGAUGAUCAGCCACACUGGAACUGAGACACGGUCCAGACUCCUACGGGAGGCAGCAGUGGGGAAUAUUGGACAAUGGGCGCAAGCCUGAUCCAGCCAUGCCGCGUGUGUGAAGAAGGCCUUCGGGUUGUAAAGCACUUUCAGCGAGGAGGAAGGGGUGUGUGUUAAUAGUACACACCUUUGACGUUACUCGCAGAAGAAGCACCGGCUAACUCUGUGCCAGCCGCCGCCGUAAGAC